AAUGAACGUUGGCGGCGUGGAUUAGGCAUGCAAGUCGUGCGAGAAGUCUUUUGCUUGCAUUAGACGGAAAGCGGCGAAAGGGAGAGUAACGCGUGGGUACCUACCUCUAGGUUCGGGAUAGCUGCGGGAAACUGUGGGUAAUACCGAAUAACAUCUCCGGAUCAAAGGUGUGAUUCCGCCUGGAGACGGGCCCGCGUCCUAUUAGCUUGUUGGUGGGGUAAUGGCUUACCAAGGCAAUGAUGGGUAUCGGGCGUGAGAGCGUGACCCGACUCACUGGGACUGAGACACUGCCCAGACACCUACGGGUGGCUGCAGUCGAGAAUCUUCGGCAAUGGGCGCAAGCCUGACCGAGCGACGCCGCGUGCGGGAUGAAGGCCCUCGGGUUGCAAACCGCUGUCAGUUGGGAGGAAAUCACAUGGGGUUCUCUCCAUGUGUUGACCUAUCUUCAGAGGAAGGACGGGCUAAGUUCGUGCCAGCAGCCGCCGUAAGAC
rnacentral:rRNA from 1 species